UGCGCCUGCGCCCCGCUGAACUUGGCUGCGCGUGCGCAGCCCUGCGCGGAGCGGCGGCGCGAAGAUCUCGGCUGUGGGGACCUUACGCUGCAGUUCCGCUGCAGGCGGAAAACGGCAAAGAAGACGCGAGGGAAAUGGUGCUGAUUAGCUGACGGAAGUGAUUGGCUGGUGGAAGGAGCCGUUCCACAUCGCGCCUUAGUGGGGGCGGGAACCAGCUGAAGAGCGGUUCGGGUGUCGACUCCAGUUGUUUCGCGGCGGGGCAAAGGGCGGAACCGAGCGGGCGGUCUCGCGGGAGAAUAGUUUCCCGGGCGCGGGAGGCCGGCGCGGGCUGAAGGCGCGGGUCCUGUGCCGGAGAGUCUUGGCCUCGCUCCCGCGCGCGGAGCCUGGUGGGGCGCCGGGCUGCCCCCAGGAGUUACACCUGCGGGAUGUGCGGCGGUUCUGGGCGUUCUCGUCCCCUUCCGGGCUCCGUCAGACUGGUGUGGGGCUCCCACCCCGUUACCGAAUCGGAAGGUCUGAGAGGCCUACCUGUUUUUAAAUCCCUUGGGGUGAAUCUGAUGCUCGGCCAAGUUGAAGCCCAGCGCACUGUUUCAGGUUACCCCGCCCCACCCCAACCUCAGGGCCAUGUGGCUCCUUCAGGCUGAGCGGGUAACCCCUGGGCUGGCCAGUGUGCGGAAGGGUCCUCAGCCUUGCAGGUUGGCUGUGGAAGGCCUGUUUGUGUGCCUGCUGCACAGUGAGGCCAAAUAAACCCAAAGGUCGGAGUUUGGAGCAGAGAAAAGUUUAUUGAAAAGCCAAGCAAAAAGACCGGUGGCCUGUGCUCUAAAACCCCUAACUCUCGAUGGUUUUCAGGGAGAAGUUUUUAGAGGUAACAUUUGGGGUGAGGACUGCAGGGUGUGUGAAUUUUUUCUGAUUGGUUGGUGGUAAGGCAUGGUGCUCGGACUCGGGCUUAGCCUGAAGUUGCCAUCCUCCACCUGGGUGGGGGACCUUCAUUCCUACAGAAGAACUCAAAGAUGUUAUAUAUAUCCCUUGAGGAGAAACGAGGAUCUUGCUUUUAUGGCUACAUUAUAGUUUCUUGAUUGUUCCUCCUUUGUUUCUUCCUUUCCUUAUUUCCCUGACUAGUAACUAUUUGAAUCUGUUCUUUGAUAUUAAGGAAUGUCUAGGCGCCUGUAGCUUUUUUCCUGCAAAUAAGAAAUGGGGGGCACAGAAAGGAUUUUGUGCCCAGGAGGGCCCCACAGGGUCCUGCUUGAUUUCUAGUCUAGAUUUUGUCAGAUCCCCCAUGCAGGUCUGGAGUUAGAUACCAAGUGACCAACAAGGGUGGACAUUCCUCCCCAUAGGUGUCCACUCUGGAGAAGAAGUGAGAUUGGAUGUUUGGAGGAUUGGGGAACAAGUCCUCUGGUCCUGCAAGUUGAAUCCAUUGAGUGCUGUCUCUGCUCAGGGAACUUGACUGGUUCUUUUGGCGCUCAGAUUACAAACUGUUACCCUGAUACAGUUCUAUAAUUUUCCUGUUACUCAGGUCACUUUGGGCUUGACCAAAUGGUUUCUUUUACAAACCAUCUCUUAGGAUAGUGUAAUCAAUGGCGGAGCUCAUCUGUUGAAUUUGAUUCAUUUUUUUGUUUUGGGGUUUUGGUAGAUGGCUUUUCCUUAUUCUUAAAUUCUGAUGACAUCUUACAGGAGCCACAUAUAUGGAAUUAGAGAAUCUCUGUUUCUUAUUAACAGUUUUAUUGAGCUGAAAUUUACAUACCAUAAAAUUAACCUGUUUUAAGUGUACAAAUCAGUGAUUUUUAACAUAUAUACAGAGUUUUGCAACCAUCACUGUAACGAAAUUAGAGAAUCUUUGGCGAUUUUUUUUUCCUACUGAUUGCCUUUACUAUUCUCAAAAGUUUGCCUAAGUGGAUGUUUUGGAAAUACAACGUAAGAACCUCUGAAAAUGUACACUCAAGUUGUGUUAUACCUGAGCAGAUGAAAUUAAGAGGAGAAUUGAAACAAAUGUUCCUAGAAGUUGCAGGUAGUGAAACUUUUGUGUAUUGUAAUGCCAAGUAGAUAGUAACCAUUCCAGGUGUUUUGUUUUGUGAAGAAUAUGGCACAAACCCCAUUUUACAGAUGACAACAUUGACUUUGAAGGAUAAGUUGCCUGAAGUUACAUGUUUGUGCCUAGGCUAGGCCCCAACCCAGGAUGCUUUAUCUCUAAAUGUGUUGCCUUUGCCACCUCAUGAGCCUAGUUUCCAAUUAUAUUAUCUAUGUAUGACCUGUACAAUUCAUUCAUUUACUGAUCAAAUAAUUAUAAAGUGACCACUAUGCCACCAAAACCAAAAACACUGCUCUAAGUUCUAGAGAUACCAUAGUAAAUGAGCUAAAUUCCUGCCCUCAGCUUAUAUUCGAUGAAGAGACAGUGAUCAAUUGAAGAAAUAUAUACUCUAAUUUUAGAUAUUGAGACAGGCUUUUUUUUAAAAAUAGGCAAACUAAGAGUAUAGGGAAUGAUGGUGGGAGAUGGGAUCUGGCUGUCUUUUUGAGCAGAAAUCUGAAAGAAGGGAGGAAGCUGGGGCAUAAGAAAAAGCAAAGAUUUAGUUUGAGCAGCUGGAAAGAUGAAGUCGCCAUUUACUGAGUUGAAAUAUAUUGGAUAACACUGUGGAAGGACCAGGCUUUUGGGUUAAAAUCAUGAAUUCAGCUUUAGAUGUUUUUAGAUGCCACUUAGUCAUCCAAGUGGAGAGAAGGGGUUUAAAUCCAUGAGGUUGGAUGUGAUCUGACCAAGGGAUGGGUGGAGGUAGAGAGAGGACCAAGGACUGAUCCUUAGACACUUCAGUGUUUAGAAUACAAGGAGAUGAGGAGGAACCAGGAAGGAAGAUUGAAAAGGAGAGUCCAGUGUGUUAGGUGGAAAAUGCACUGGAGAUAAGAUUGAUCAGAUAGAAUGAAGACAGAAUGGUCCAUUUGUAAGAGAGGUAUGUAAAAUCUUUUGCUUUAAUUGUUCAUAUUGGCAGUUACUACAGAAACAGCGUUUCUUCCUUUUUGAGGUGGUGUACAUUUUUACAACUUUUUGAAGGGUGAUUUGAUAUUAUCUAAAAUUUAAAUGUGUGUUUACAUUCUUUGGAUAAUUUAACUUCUAGUUUAUCCUACACAAGUAUUUAUACAUGUAUACAAAGAUAUAUGUAUAAAGGUGUUUAUCACAGCAUUAUUUAUGAUAGUAAAAGAAAGAAUGCAAAUUUCAGUCAAGAUAUAGUUUUAAAGGAAAGAUAGAAAAUGUAUAGAUAUGAAAGACAGCUGCUAAAGACUGAAUUUUAUCCACCCAAAUUCAUAUGUUGGAAGUCUUCACCCUCAAUGUGAUGCCAUUUGAAGAUGAACCUUUGGGAGAUUAUUAGGUUUAGAUGAUGUCAUGAUGGUGGGACCCUCAAGGUGGGAUUAGUGUCAUUAUAAGAAGAGGAAGAGAGACCUGAGCUCUCUUCUUUCUACCAUGUAAGGAUACUACAAGCCAGGAAGUGGGUGCUUACCAGGAACGGAGUUGACUGGUACCUUGAUCUGGGACUUCCCAGUCUCCAGAACUGUGGGACAUAAAUGUUUGUUGUUAAACGCACCCAAUCUAUGGUAUUUUGUUAGCAGCCCUAACCCUAUUAAAUGAUAAAGUCAGAUAACCUAACAGAAUGUAUAGUAUGAUUUCGUUUAUCUUAAUAUAUCCAGAGGAGGCCUGUCUACUCAUACUAUCACAGGUUACUCCCUCAUUUACCUUCCCUGAGCACUUUUCUAUCUGCAGCACUUAUCACUGUCUAAAAGUAUUAAUUUUUAUACUUAUUUACUGUCUAUCUUGUUGUACUGGAAGGUAAAUUCUAUAAGAUUUUUGCCUUCGUUGUUUUUCUUUCUACCUCCAGCACAGGGGUAUGUAAUUUUUAAAAACAUUGUUUUAGGUGAAAAACUCAGACAGACAGUAUUCCCCUGAUAAUUUUACCACAAAUUCUUUGAUAUUCUUUCCUUCAAAGCAUUCCCCUGCUUGUGAGUGUGGGCUGGACUUAGUGACUAGCUUCCAAUGAGUAGAAUAUGGCAGAAGUAGAGGUAUGUCAGUAGCUCAUCAUGACUUCCUCCUUGCUCUCUCUCUCGGAUCAUUCAUUCUGGUGAACCAGCUGCUGUAUCAUGAGGACAUAUCACACAGUGCUUGGGAGAGGCCCAUGUGGCAAGAAACUGAGGCUUACUCCCAACCGGCAGGGAAGAACUGAAGCCACCUGCCAACAGUCAUGUGAGUGAGCCACCUUAGAAAUAUUUGCUUUUCAGUGCCAGUCAUGCCUUCAGAUGAUUGCAUCUCCAGGUGACAGCUUGACAGCAGUGUCACAGGAGACCCUGAGCCAGAUCACUCAAGAAAGUAAAGAGCUGCAAGUUUUAUUGGAUCAUUUAAAAAGUCUCCCAUACCCCACUUCUUUGGACCUUUAUGAGAAGGACAAUUUAGUGGCGAAAGAGGAGUCUUUCAACAAAUGAUUCUGGACAAUUGGAUCCAUAUGCCAAAAGGAAAGAAAAGAAAAGAGUGAGAGUGCACUUUGAUCCGUAUCUUGUGCCAUAUACAAAGAAGAACAAAAAUGAAUCCAAGACCUAAAUAUAAGAGCUAAAACUAUAAAACUUCUAGAAGAAAAUGUAGGAGAAAAGCUUUGUAACCUUAAGUUACAGACUUCUUAGAUAUGACAUUGAAAGUGUGAUCUUUAAAAGAAAAAAAUGGACAAAUUGGACUUCGUCAAAACAUCUGUUCUUUGAAAGACAAUAUUAAGAGAAUGAAAAGGCAAGUCACAGACUGAGAGAAGAUAUUUGUAAACCACAUGUGAUAAAGGACCAAUAUGUAUAGGACAUAUAUAAAGAUCUCUCAAAACUUAAUAGCAUGGAAAUAAUCCAAUUAAAAAUUGGGCAAAAGGUUGAACUGACAUCUCACCAAAGAAGUUAUACAGAUGAAAAGAUGCUUAAUAUUCUUAGUCAUUAGGGAAAUGCAAAGCAAAACCACAAUGAGUUACUAUUACACACCUAUAAGAACAGCUAAAAUUAAAAAGGCAGCACACUAAUUGUUGGCAUGGAUGUGGAAGAACUGGAACUCCCAUAUACUGCAGGUGGAAAUGUAAAAAUGGUACGUGCAUUUUGGAAAGCAAUAUGGCAGUUUUAAAAAAUGUUAAAUAUACACCUACCAUGAGAUCCAGCCCCUUUACUCCUGGAUGAAAUGAAAUGAAAUGAAAGUGUAUAUCCCUCAAAAAUUUGUAUACGGUUGUUCAAACAGCUUUAUUUUUAAUAGCCCAAAUCUAGAAACAAUUCAAAUAUUUACAAAUGGAUGAAUCAAACAAAUAGUGGUAUAGCCAUACAGUGGAAUACCACUCAGCAAUAAAAAGAAAUGAAUUAUUGAUACAUGCAACAUUGUAAGUUUAACCUCAAAGAAAAUGUUGAGUGACAUAGACCGGACAAAAAAGACUAUGUACUAUAUGAUUCAACUUAUAUAAGAUUCUAGAAAAUGAAAAUAAUAGUGACAGAAAGCAGAUCAGUUCUUGAAUGUGAUGGGAUGGGGAGGGAUGGGGCAAACAGCAGGAGAGAGGGCCUAAAAAGGGGCAUGAGGCAACUUUGGGGAUGAGAGUAUCUUGAUUGUGGUGGUGGUUUCAUUGUGUAUAUAUGUAUUACAACUUAUUAAAUUGUAUAUUAUUAAUGUAUACAGUUUAUAGUAUAUUAAUUAAACUUCAAUAAAGCUAUUUUUAAAGCUACAUUGAAUCUAUUAUCCUGUUUACAGAUCAUCUUCAUUUGCUUGUAGGCAGAAGGGUACUACAUAAUCUUUCUCAUUUCUGUAUGCUCAGAUGCAAAUAAUAAACUUUGUGAAUAUUAACUAUUGACUGCGAUUGUUUUGCUAGUGCCUUCUGCAUGUCUAUUGUGGUGAAAUUGUUUACCAAAUUUUGAAUGAUUUGCAAAUGAAAC